GUGCUCGCACAUGGCCGCUUCUGUCAUUGUCUUUUCUUCUUUAGAUAAGGAAAUGUUUUAUUGCCAGUGACUUCAUCAAGCUCAAGAUUAAAAAAACAGAGGAAGUGAACCAAGGACAGGUCAUCAUAUUUCUCCCAGGCAAAAGAGUUUCUUCGGCAGUAAGCCACGUAAUGUCCAAGAGAUUCCCUUGUUGGUCCUGGAAUGAAUGCAACAACCCCUCGCAAAGUGAACAACUGAUUGUCCAGCUCCAUGUCGACAGGGAUUUCAGACAGUGGAUGCUAUCUGGACACUCUUGGGGUGAUUUCAGUGGCUUCAGACACUUGGACCUGUUGAGGUGUAGCCCAUCUUCCAGUGCUGCUUGGAGGCUUUUCAGUCCACCAGUUUGUAGAAUAUCUACGUUGACUGGUAGGAGAUAGAUGGUCCUUGAAGAUUUUGUAUU